rnacentral:piRNA from 1 species
UAAUUUAAUCUAUUGAGUAUGUGCUUUGAA